rnacentral:lncRNA from 1 species
GUCACUUUUAUUACAGAAGAAUGCCUCCUAUUGGCUGAGGGCAUGAAGUUAGAUAUGCAUUAGGGACGAAUCAGGAGAGAGAACAGAAAGCCAGACAUGGAAACAGAUGACUGCAGCUCUUAGAGCUCUCCAUCCCACCUGAUGAUUCAUCUCUCCCUCUGCCUUCCCUGUUCGUUUGAAACAUGCAGUGGAAUUGAACGGGAAGACAGUAUCAAAUACUAAUUAAUCAUGAUUCUGCAUCUAUAUAGCAGUAGACAACACUGACUGAUGUUGUCCUUUGGCUGAGCAAAUUUCCUGCUGCUUGGAGAUCUCAUUCAGAAAUGCUGAUUCAUUUCUCCCUGCCAACUAAAGUGUGCUGCUGCAGAAACCGCGGAUAGAAUGGAUGAUAAGAAAAAUAUACUGUAUCCUAGACCCUGAAUACAAUAAACAAAAGAGAAAGGCAUCCUAGGGUCUCUGGAACAGUUUCCCUUCUUUGCAGUUGUUUACAGUCAGGGUUUGACUAAUUCCAGCUACAGGCUGGAUAUUAGCCAGGACCCUGACUGGAAAAAAUCCUCCUGUGCCGACAUAUUUAUUACAUCAGUUUGCCUCAAAGGGAGGAGGGAAUACAUUUAGAGAUGCAUCAUGAGCCAAUCAGAAGAGAGAUUCUCAAACCCUGGAAUGGAAACAAAUGACUGCAGUCCUUGGAGAUCUGCCUAGGAGCUCCUGAUUCAUCUAUCUCUCUCCCCUCCCUGUUUUUCUCAAAGAAGUAUGAAUAUUGAUUUCGGAGGACAGAAUUUAAUGUAAUUUGCUUGCAUGGUGACCAAGUUCAGUGAAUGGGAGCAGCAACAUGAAUAAUAAAAUGGGCUUCCAUAUGAUUUUGAAGAAAAAAGUGUUUGAUAUGAAAGUUGGAGAAUUAUUGAGGACAAACAUCACAGAGAAAUUUCAUGCAUAUGCCUGAACAUUCGUCAAUAAAGCUUAACAUGUCCUGCAGCAGAAAUCAUGAAAUACAAUGGAUGAGGAGAAAGUUACAAUUAAUCCUAAGAACUGAAUACAAGAAACAAAAGAGAAAAGCAUCCUUGGUGCAGCGCACCAGAUUUAGGUUGUUUCCGAAUUUCAAGUUCUACCAGAAAUGGAAGCACAUCAGACAGGACAACAUGGAGCCUGGUGACCUCUGAGAUGAUGUUUCCAACUGUCGUUGUGAUCACAGGUUAAAGACCCUGGAGCAGAGAGCCCAGAAGCAGCACCAUUGAUGUCUGGCUCAUUCUCUCUUUGGGACACAAAAUUGCAUCGCUCCUGCGUUGCUUCUUGCAAAUGGUACACACAGCUCUGUGACUGGUGGCAU